AUUGAACGCUGGCGGCAGGCCUAACACAUGCAAGUCGAACGAGCCGCGGACGUGUGGGUAAUGUACGGGCAACUGCCCGAUGGAGGGGGAUAACUACGCGAAACGGUUGCUACUAACGCAUACCAUCAGAUGUGCCCAUAUGGGAUUGGCUAGGAGGAGGGGUAACGGCUCACCUAGGCGACGAUCCGUAGCUGGUGUGAGAGGAGGACCAGCCACACUGGAACUGAGACACGGCCCAGACUCCUACGGGAGGCAGCAGUGGGGAAUAUUGGACAAUGGGGGAAAGCCUGAUGCAGCCAUGCCGCGUGUAUGAAGAAGGCCUUCGGGUUGUAAAGUACUUUCAGCGGGGAGGCGGUACCCGCAGAAGAAGCACCGGCUAACUCCGUGCCAGCAGCCGCGGUAAUAC
rnacentral:rRNA from 1 species